rnacentral:rRNA from 1 species
AGGUUAAGUUAGAAAGGGCGCACGGUGAAUGCCUUGGCACUAGGAGCCGACGAAGGACGCGACGAACAGCGAUAUGCCUCGGGGAGUUGUAAGUAAACUUUGAUCCGGGGAUUUCCGAAUGGGGGAACCCACUAUCCGUAAUGGGAUGGUAUCCAUAUCUGAAUACAUAGGGUAUGAGAAGGCAGACCUGGGGAACUGAAACAUCUAAGUACCCAGAGGAAGAGAAAGAAAUAUUCGAUUACCUGAGUAGCGGCGAGCGAAACGGUAACAGCCCAAACCAAGGGGCUUGCCCCUUGGGGUUGUAGGACACUCUAUACGGAGUUACAAAGAAACGAAGUAGACGAAGCGAUCUGGAAAGGUCCGCGAA